rnacentral:rRNA from 1 species
UGGUAUUCUUGAUUCUAAUAUGAAAGCUUUGGUAGUAAACAGAUAUAGGCUCGAAAACUAAAGGAUUUGGCGGUAUUUUAGUCCAGUUAGAGGAACCUGUCCCAUGAACGAUAAACCACGAAGAAUCUUACUCUAUUUAGUAAUAAUCAGUUUGUAUACCGCCAUUAUCAGACGUGUAUAUAAGUCCACGCCAUAAGAGGUUUAGAUUAAACCUAGAAAAUUAGGUCAAGGUGCAGCCCAUAAUAGAGGAGGGAGAUGGGUUACAAUUUUUAUUUUUUUUGUCAGAAAAUACGGAAAACUAAAUUUAACUUUAGUUUGAAGGCGGAUUUAAAAGUAAUAUUUUUUUAAUAUGGUAAUAUGAGUGUGGUCCUAAGAUAUGUA